GGUAAGCCAGACAGUCGCGGCGGAGAUUGCUCCGACGAGGAAAGUCCGAGCUUCACAGGGCAGGGUGCCGGGUAACUCCCGGUGAAGGCAACUUCAAGGAUAGUGCAACAGAAAUAGACUACCGCAUAUGCGGUACAGGUGGAAAGGUGAGGUAAAAGCUCACCGGCGUCCGGGUGACCGGACGGCCGUGUAAACCCCAUCCGAAGCAACACCGAGCGAGAGGGCGGCCCGCCAUUAUACUCUCAACAGGUGGCUUGAGCGAUGCAGAAAUGCAUCGCCUAGAUAGAUGACUGUUUAAUACAGAACUCGGCUUACAGGCUUGCCC
rnacentral:RNase_P_RNA from 1 species